GAUGAACGCUGGCGGCGUGCCUAAUACAUGCAAGUCGAGCGAACAGACGAGGAGCUUGCUCCUCUGACGUUAGCGGCGGACGGGUGAGUAACACGUGGAUAACCUACCUAUAAGACUGGGAUAACUUCGGGAAACCGGAGCUAAUACCGGAUAAUAUAUUGAACCGCAUGGUUCAAUAGUGAAAGACGGUUUUGCUGUCACUUAUAGAUGGAUCCGCGCCGCAUUAGCUAGUUGGUAAGGUAACGGCUUACCAAGGCAACGAUGCGUAGCCGACCUGAGAGGGUAAUCGGCCACACUGGAACUGGGACACGGUCCAGACUCCUACGGGAGGCAGCAGUAGGGAAUCUUCCGCAAUGGGCGAAAGCCUGACGGAGCAACGCCGCGUGAGUGAUGAAGGUCUUCGGAUCGUAAAACUCUGUUACUAGGGAAGAACAAAUGUGUAAGUAACUAUGCACGUCUUGACGGUACCUAAUCAGAAAGCCACGGCUAACUACGUG
rnacentral:rRNA from 1 species